ACAGACCCUGCGAACAUGGCGCUGCGAGCGGCGCGGAGCGCGCGACCUGUGCUCUGCAGCCUGCGCUGGGCCUGGCGACCGCCGCGGCCGGGGCGGCUGAGCGCGGCGCUGUCAGACGCUGCGAACGGGACCCGCUCUGCUCUCAGUGCGUAAAUUUACAGAGAAACAUGAAUGGGUAACAACAGAAAAUGGUGUUGGAACAGUGGGAAUCAGCAAUUUUGCACAGGAAUCUUUGGGAGAUGUUGUUUACUGUAGUCUGCCCGAAGUUGGGACAAAAUUAAACAAACAAGAGGAGUUUGGUGCUUUGGAGAGUGUGAAAGCUGCUAGUGAGCUCUAUUCUCCUUUAUCAGGAGAAGUAACUGAAAUUAAUGGAGCUCUGGCAGAAAACCCUGGACUUGUUAACAAAUCUUGUUACGAAGAUGGUUGGCUGAUCAAGAUGACACUGAGUAAUCCUUCAGAACUAGAUGAACUAAUGAGUGAAGAAGCAUAUGAGAAAUACGUAAAAUCUAUUGAGGAGUGAAAAUGGAACCCCUAAAUAAACUAGUGUGAAAUAAAAAAAAAAAAAA